UGGGGAUUUUGUUUGUCUAUAUG
rnacentral:miRNA from 9 species